rnacentral:rRNA from 1 species
GAUGAACGCUGGCGGCGUGCUUAACACAUGCAAGUCGAACGAAGACAUCUGAGUGCUUGCACUUGGAUGGACUGAGUGGCGGACGGGUGAGUAACGCGUGGGUAACCUGCCUUAUACAGGGGGAUAACAGUUGGAAACGACUGCUAAUACCGCAUAAGCGCACGGUAUCGCAUGAUACAGUGUGAAAAACUCCGGUGGUAUAAGAUGGACCCGCGUCUGAUUAGCUUGUUGGUGAGGUAACGGCCCACCAAGGCGACGAUCAGUAGCCGGCCUGAGAGGGUGAACGGCCACAUUGGGACUGAGACACGGCCCAAACUCCUACGGGAGGCAGCAGUGGGGAAUAUUGCACAAUGGGGGAAACCCUGAUGCAGCGACGCCGCGUGAGUGAUGAAGUAUUUCGGUAUGUAAAACUCUAUCAGCAGGGAAGAUAAUGACGGUACCUGACUAAGAAGCACCGGCUAAAUACGUGCCAGCAGCCGACGG